rnacentral:rRNA from 1 species
UUGAACGCUGGCGGCAUGCCUUACACAUGCAAGUCGAACGGUAACGCGGGGCAACCUGGCGACGAGUGGCGAACGGGUGAGUAAUGCAUCGGAACGUGCCCAGUAGUGGGGGAUAGCCCGGCGAAAGCCGGAUUAAUACCGCAUACGACCUACGGGUGAAAGCGGGGGACCGCAAGGCCUUGUGCGAUUGGAGCGGCCGAUGUCAGAUUAGCUAGUUGGUAGGGUAAAAGCCUACCAAGGCGACGAUCUGUAGCUG